UACGUAGGGGGCGAGCGUUGUCCGGAUUUAUUGGGCGUAAAGCGCGUGUAGGCGGCUCGGUAAGUCUGCUGUGAAAGUCCAGGGCUCAACCCUGGAAUGCCGGUGGAUACUGUCGAGCUCGAGUCCGGAAGAGGCGAGUGGAAUUCCUGGUGUAGCGGUGAAAUGCGCAGAUAUCAGGAGGAACACCAAUGGCGAAGGCAGCUCGCUGGGACGGUACUGACGCUGAGACGCGAAAGCGUGGGGAGCAAACAGG
rnacentral:rRNA from 1 species